rnacentral:hammerhead_ribozyme from 1 species
GCACUGCUGACGAGUCAAAACAGAACGAAACAGUUGUCCAGUGC